rnacentral:rRNA from 1 species
AACGAACGCUGGCGGCAGGCCUAACACAUGCAAGUCGAGCGAGACCUUCGGGUCUAGCGGCGGACGGGUUAGUAACGCGUGGGAACGUGCCCUUCUCUGCGGAAUAGCCACUGGAAACGGUGAGUAAUACCGCAUACGCCCUUCGGGGGAAAGAUUUAUCGGAGAAGGAUCGGCCCGCGUUAGAUUAGAUAGUUGGUGGGUAACGGCCUACCAAGUCUACGAUCUAUAGCUGGUUUUAGAGGAUGAUCAGCAGCACUGGGACUGAGACACGGCCCAGACUCCUACGGGAGGCAGCAGUGGGGAAUCUUAGACAAUGGGCGCAAGCCUGAUCUAGCCAUGCCGCGUGUGUGAUGAAGGUCUUAGGAUCGUAAAGCACUUUCGCCAGGGAUGAUAAUGACAGUACCUGGUAAAGAAACCCCGGCUAACUCCGUG